AACGUAGGAGGCGAGCGUUAUCCGGAGUUACUGGGCGUAAAGCGCGUGUAGGCGGUUGGUUAGGUCAGAUGUGAAAGCUCCCAGGCUAAACCGGGAGAGGACAUUUGAAACCGGCGAACUAGAGGAUAGCAGAGGGGUACGGAAUUCCGGGUGUAGUGGUGAAAUGCGUAGAGAUCCGGAGGAACACCAGUGGCGAAGGC
rnacentral:rRNA from 1 species